rnacentral:rRNA from 1 species
UACGUAGGGAGCAAGCGUUGUCCGGAAUCAUUGGGCGUAAAGCGCGCGUAGGUGGCCACAUAAGUCCGUUGUGAAAGUCAAAGGCUCAACCUUUGAAAGCCGAUGGAUACUGUGUGGCUAGAGUACGGAAGAGGCGAGUGGAGUUCCUGGUGUAGCGGUGGAAUGCGCAGAUAUCAGGAGGAACACCAAUAGCGAAGGCAGCUCGCUGGGACGUUACUGACACUGAGGCGCGAAAGCGUGGGGAGCGAACAGG